rnacentral:tRNA from 1 species
CCACACAUGGUGACCCCUUUAAGGA